CAACAUACCACAACUUUUGCAUCAGCUCUCAGUUUCUUACACAGUCUCCUGUUGUAUCAAAUGGUGCUUCUCUACUAUCAUUUUAACACUACUCUUCAAAAUGUGGGGGUUGACAGAAGAUAAGGCAACCCAGGCGGUCUCCAUGACGACACCUGCUCUUGUUUUUGCCAAACCUGGCAGAGUUUAAUUCGUCUGCAGAUGCCAAGAUGAGACACACCUUAUACACACACACACAGGUAAUGACAUCACUGGAGCUGAACGACACCUGAUGAUGAUGAUGAUGAUGAUGUGGUAAUCUCAAGCCAUUUCCUGUGACUCACAAAUUCCAGAGGCAAAUGUAUGACAGGA